UACGCAGGGGCCGAGCGUUGUCCGGAGUUAUUGGGCGUAAAGCGCGCGCAGGCGGCUUCGCGCGCCCGACGUGAAAGCCCCCGGCUUAACCGGGGAGAGUCGUUGGGGACGGCGGAGCUUGAGGGCGGGAGAGGUCGGUGGAAUUCCCGGUGUAGUGGUGAAAUGCGUAGAGAUCGGGAGGAACACCUGUGGCGAAGGCGGCCGACUGGGCCGACCCUGACGCUGAGGCGCGAAGGCGUGGGGAGCGAACGGG
rnacentral:rRNA from 1 species